UUUCCUCUCUUGUUCGAUACUCUUAACUUGUUCUCGUUCUGCAACUACAAGUACUUGUCGUUUUGUCUCAAAACAUCAUCAACGGAUCUGUUCCUGUCGGAGAAUCUCUGACGGCUUUAGAUCCCAGCAAAUCUCCAGUUCAUGCCUUAGGGUUCCGCAAGAUCCAACCAAACGGUGGUUUCAGUCUAUCCAUAUGGUUCAACAAGACUCCCAACACAACCAUCGUGUGGCACGCACAAGAUGUCAACACAACUAGUGGCCUUGUCCCUGCUGGUUCCAAGGUUACACUAACCGCAGACCGCGGUUUGGUUCUCGCUGACCCUCGAGGUCAACGGCUCUGGAGUUAUUCACUGAAUCCGAGUAACGGCUCUGUUUAACAAGUGCGCAUGACCGACGCCGGAAACUUCCGCCUGUUGAGCAAAGAUUCCAGUAAGGAUUUGUGGUCGAGCUUCGAUAAUCCCACAGACACUCUGUUGCCACUCAGAUUUCCACGAUAGAGUUCCUGCUGCAACAACGAAGGUUUCGAAACAAUGGAACAGAUUCUUUAUAAGGAAGAUGAUUCUGAUAUAGACGUUUUGUUAUUAACACUCGUCACUGCAUAUGAGAAUCAAAUUGAACGUCCGAUUCGGAGACAAAUCACUAGAGAAGGACACGUUUAUAUUCAAAAGGCUUUGAAAGAAAAUCCUCAUCAUUUUCGGCAAUUAUAUCGUAUGUAUCCGGAUGUAUUUGCGGAUUUGUGUUAUCUGAUCAGAAUGAAGACUGAUUUAAGAAACACACGACAUAUGUAUGUCGAAGAGAUGCUUGCUACUUUUUUGAUGACAGUUGGGCAAAGUUCUAAAUACUGCCAUACCAUAGAUACUUUUAAGAGGUCAAAAUUCACAGCAAGUACAAACUUUCACAAGAUUCUCAGAGCUUUAAACACGCUUGCACCUAGUUUGAUGGCAAAGCCUACACAUACAGUCCCCCCAAAAAUAAGUACAAGCACUC